CUGGUAUUUUGAAUUCUCCACACUUUUAUUAUAACGUGGGUCUAAACUUGGGGAAGAGACCCUAUCAAUAUUGCCUCUGCUUUUGUGAACAGAGUAGUAGUAGUGCAAUAUUGCUUAUAGGGUCUUUUCUUUGAGAUACCUCCCAGAGUGCCCAAGAAGAUGCUUUCAAUAAUGUUGUAACAAUAUGUAAUACAUCCAAUCACUGUUAUAGAAUAAAGUGGUGUCUGUAAUUGGCUACAAUAGUUAAGCUCUGUGGGUACUUUGUCAUAAACUUUAUUUUUAUUUUAUUUUAUUUUUUUACAGCUUUUUUGCGUUUCCCAUGGUGCCAUUUAGUCGUUGGGGUAUCAAACUGCUGCAUCCAGAAGCUCUUGGGCUAAAACUCUCAUAAUUGACACAUUUUAUAAUUCUGUCAGUUUGCUAUGGGAGUUGUAGUCCAAGAUCUGAUUGGUCCAUAGGUCAAGAUAAUAUAUUGAAAAUAUCACGGAUGUGAGCAUUUUAUUAAACAAGGAUUUGUGGAAAAUUGACUAAUUGUAAAUGUAGGGCGUAAUAGCAGCAUUUUUGAAAAGAAAAUCUCACUUUCGACUGUUUCUGCCAUAAAUUAACAUUUCUCUUCUACAUAAUCCACAGCUCUUAUGUGUCUCAUGAUGUCUGUCAUUUAUACUGUUCUGGAAUUUAUUUUAGUUUGAUAGUAGUUUUUUUGUUAUAAUGGGUCUACUUAAAAUCCCUACAUUCAAAAUAAGAACUAUUUACAAUACGGAGUGGCCAUACGCACCUUAAACAUAACAUCAAUAAACACAUGCCCAUCCCUAUUAGCAGUAUUUUUUUAUUUUUUUUUAGCAGUUUGUAUAAAGAACAUAAUAAUAAAAUAUUCUAGAUGGGAUCUGUUCCAUUCACCGUCCCAAACUGGCCUUACUAUAUCUGUGUAUGUAAUGGAGGCUUCUAGUCC